AUUGAACGCUGGCGGCAGGCCUAACACAUGCAAGUCGAGCGGGGUCAAGGUGCUUGCACUUUGACUUAGCGGCGGACGGGUGAGUAAUGCCUAGGAAUCUGCCUGGUAGUGGGGGACAACGUUUCGAAAGGAACGCUAAUACCGCAUACGUCCUACGGGAGAAAGCAGGGGACCUUCGGGCCUUGCGCUAUCAGAUGAGCCUAGGUCGGAUUAGCUAGUUGGUGAGGUAAUGGCUCACCAAGGCUACGAUCCGUAACUGGUCUGAGAGGAUGAUCAGUCACACUGGAACUGAGACACGGUCCAGACUCCUACGGGAGGCAGCAGUGGGGAAUAUUGGACAAUGGGCGAAAGCCUGAUCCAGCCAUGCCGCGUGUGUGAAGAAGGUCUUAGGAUCGUAAAGCACUUUAAGUUGGGAGGAAGGGC
rnacentral:rRNA from 1 species